UCUCUCCGGAAUUGUUUACAGAUGACAGACUGAAUACUGUCCAUGUCUGCAUAGUCAAGGUCCAGAUGUUUUCCGUACGGAAGGAACUUGGUGCUGUAGCCCGGGAGAUGGGCUGUGCAGGGUUCUUAGCUUGUGGAUGAAGCAGUGGUAGUGCUGAAUUGGUACUUCAUUCUCUCUAGAAUAGUCCCUUAUGGUCUUUUGGAUCUGAGCACUGGCAUCACUGGUAAUGGAACGAGGUUGAACAUAACUUAUUGGCAGUUUGGAGGGCCAAAACCAGUUUUCGGGAGGUGUUGUUUUCCACCACCGGACAGAAACUCUGGGUUGCUGCCUCGAAUCCUGCCUGCGGCCUGUUGUUGUAAGAGGUGUCAGUCUCGAUGUGGACUUCGUUUCCUCGACCGAGAAGUUGGUUGACACGUCGGACAUACCGCUGAUUGUCGAUCAUCGAGGCUACAUUGA